CUGUGACGUCACACAAUUUUCAAAGAGCGUUUUGGGCGCCAAAGCAUCUGUCAAAAUAUAUUUUGUUAAUUUAACAUAUUUAAAGCCGUUUUUAGUAUAAAAGUUGAAUUUUAGGGCAACUUUUAGUUAAUAUAGAACGUAAUACAAGCGUUUCAAAAAAUUGGAAACAACCCUAUUGCAGGCAUUUUUCUGUGUCACUCUAAUUACGUCUCAGUACGAGUAAAAGAGAAAGAUCCCCGCAAUUUGCCAAUUUCGGUUAUCGCGGUAGGCUUUCAGGUUUGUUUACAGAGGGCCUUACAUGAAUCUCGGAAAUUAAAAUUUUGUUAUCUGCCUCUUUAUCACUAGAUUAUGCAAGAGUGAUAGAGAUGAAGAACAGGAGAUGCGUAAAGUGUCGCGCACCAAAAAUAUAAAAGUUAACUUCCGUCCAUUAUCCAAAAUAGAGGAGCACUGUACAAGACACCAGGCUGAUAAAUUAUUUAACAAAUUACCCGAAGAGCUUAAAACAAUUUCAAAAUGUAAUAUCUACAAACACAAAUUGAAACAGUUUUUGUUGAGAGGAUGUUUUUAUCGGUAGAUGAAGUGUUCAAUUUUGUUUAAGUCUUGAGUAUUGUUUCUCUUGUUAUUUUUUAGUAUUUAAAUGUUGCCGUAUUUUUAGACUGAUAUUUAUUUGUUUUUUUUUUUUUCAUUUAUAUGAUAAGUUUGUUGUUGUUUUUGUUAUGUUUUUCACUUCAUGUAUAUUCAAACACAAUUCUGUAUUGUUCAUGAAUAAAGAUACUAUGACUACAAUGACUAUGACUAUUGACGAACUUCGAUUUUCGCGGUUAUAGCCCAGGCCUCAGACCGGACGGACCAGACCAAUGUCGGGGUCCGGCACGCCCAUCUGUUACAGCUUUUACUUUUGUUAUCGUAGAUAUCGAUUAUCCGUCAAUCGGAUGUUUUCGAAUGCUCCAAGCAUUCUUUGAUUAUUUUGUUCUGUAGGAACCAAGAAAACAUUAGACCUUUCGAUUAAGUAAUCAAAUUGAAUUGUCAUCCCGUUGUUACGUUAUUUAUAUCUAUGAUUUAUAUCGAAUAGCAUAACCAGUUUUUUUUAUUUCUAUAAAACAUAUCGGAACUUUUGCCAUAGAAACACAGAAAUUACCGAUUAAUCGAAUAAACGGUAUAAGUACAUCACUAUCAAAAUUGCUCACGUCCGUUGUCCAUCUCUUUCCUUAUGCGUUAGAGGGAGCAAACGAUAUUGCUAUCUCAUUCCACCGGAAAGCUGUUGCGUCCCUGACGCUUCAAAAUAAAUCAAAUCACUCCCUGUGCAUUCCGUUGUCGUCCAUUACGUACGUACUACGUUUUGUCUUCUUGGCUUUUGUAUGCAUGGUAUUGUGGACCAACGACCCGAGGCCGCAUCAGAAAUAGUUCGCUGCGCCAUUUCCUAGUUCAUUCUGUACGGCUUUGGAUACAUAACUGGACCGCGGAAAUACUACUUGGUCAUCAGAAUGCACAGUGAAACCAAUAUAUGCUAUAAGGAUGUUUGUAACAUUAAGUGUUCUAGAGGGACUACUGGACUUCAACUACUUGCUUACACAUUCCGAUGACAGGAGCCAUCUCUGCAAGCUUCUGGAAAUGUGAAUUUCAAGAGUUGUUUGACUUCAGUGCAGAUCAAGCCAUGCCCAAUCAUAUGAUGUAUUUUAAACUAAAUCAAAAUAAGGCUGCAUUACAUCAACUUGCUUAUAGCAAACGUCAGUUGAGGCGAACAGUGGACUACAAGCUGGGACUGGACUGGAGCGAGGCCAUAAGGGUUGCUGAAGAUAGGAAGGCUUGGCAUGAGCUUGUGAAGGCCCUCUGCACAUCUGGGGUACCUCAGAACAACAACAACAAUAUCAACUUGUUCCUGUACCUGUAAAAAAGCCAUGACCUGAAAGAUGAGCAAGCAGAAAAAUCAUCCUUCUGUUAUUCUAUGGAACAUGAGAUGGACACUAAGACCAUUAACAAAACCAGUGAAAGAUUGUUACUCUAACCCUACACAAACAAAGAAAAAACCAUAAGAAGAUUUAUCUGUUUUGGCUUGACAACAAAAUUCCCGUCACGGAAAACAGGGGAAUAG